CGAAAGCCGCGAGGCGGAGCGAAACACAAAAUCCGGUCCCAGUUCAGAUUGCAGGCUGCAACUCGCCUGCAUGAAGGCGGAAUUGCUAGUAAUCGCGAAUCAGAAUGUCGCGGUGAAUACGUUCCCGGGCCUUGUACACACCGCCCGUCACACCAUGAGAGUCGAUAACACCCGAAGCCUGUGAGCUAACCUUAGGGAGGCAGCAGUCGAAGGUGGGGUUGAUGAUUAGGGUGAAGUCGUAACAAGGUAUC
rnacentral:rRNA from 1 species